rnacentral:rRNA from 1 species
GUUUUCUUGUAAGUAAAUAUGAAAUCUGGCCUGCCCACUGAAAUUUUAAAGGGCCGCAGUAUUUUGACUGUGCAAAGGUAGCAUAAUCAUUAGUCUUUUAAUUGAAGGCUGGUAUGAAUGGUUGGAUGAGGUGAAUUCUGUUUUAUGUUAAUUUGGUUGAAUUUAGAUUUUAAGUAAAAAGACUUAAAUAUAGUUAAGGGACGAGAAGACCCUAUAGAGUUUAAUAAAUGAAAUAAAUUAAUUAAGUUAAUUAAAAAUUUUUAAUUAUUAUUAAGUUUAUUUGAUUGGGGUGAUUAAAAGAUAAAAUAAACUCUUUUUUGAUUUUAAUAAUAUAAUUAAUUAUAUGAUCCAUAAUUAAUGAUUGAAAGAUUAAAUUACCUUAGGGAUAACAGCAUAAUUUUUUUUGAGAGUUCAUAUCGAAAAAAAAGAUUGUGACCUCGAUGUUGGAUUAAGAUUAGUUUUAGGUGUAGAUGUUUAAUAACUAGGUCUGUUCGACCUUUAAAAUCUUACA